GAUGAACGCUGGCGGCGUGCUUAACACAUGCAAGUCGAACGGAAAGGCCCUGCUCUUGUGGGGUGCUCGAGUGGCGAACGGGUGAGUAUCACGUGAGUAACCUGCCCUUGUCUUUGGGAUAUCUUCAGGAAACUGGGGCUAAUACCGGAUAGGAGCUCCUGCUGCAUGGUGGGGGUUGGAAAGUUUCGGCGGUUGGGGAUGGACUCGCGGCUUAUCAGCUUGUUGGUGGGGUAGUGGCUUACCAAGGCUUUGACGGGUAGCCGGCCUGGGAGGGUGACCGGCCACAUUGGGACUGAGAUACGGCGCAGAAUCCUACGGGAGGCAGCAGUGGGGAAUAUUGCACAAUGAGCGGAAGCCUGAUGCAGCAGCGCCGCGUGCGUGAUGACGUCCUUCGAGGUGUAAACCGCUUUGGCCUGUGACGAAGCGUGAGUGACGGUAAUGGGUAAAGAAGCACCGGCUAACUACGUG
rnacentral:rRNA from 1 species